AUAGGCGAAAGCCUGACAGGGUUACUCUGAGUGAUUCCCGCUAAGGGGAUCUUUUGGCACCUCUAAAAAUGGUGCAGAAUAAGGGGUGGGCAAGUCUGGUGUCAGCCGCCGCGGUAAUACCAGCACCCCGAGUGGUCGGGACGAUUAUUGGGCCUAAAGCAUCCGUAGCCGGUCAUGCAAGUCCUCCGUUAAAUCCACCUGCUUAACAGAUGGGCUGCGGAGGAUACUACAAGGCUAGGAGGCGGAAGAGGCAAGCGGUACUCAGUGGGUAGGGGUAAAAUCCUCUGAUCCAUUGAAGACCACCAGUGGCGAAGGCGGCUUGCCAAUACGCGCUCGACGGUGAGGGAUGAAAGCUGGGGGAGCAAACCGGAUUAGAUACCCCCGUAGUCC
rnacentral:rRNA from 1 species